AACGUAGGUGGCGAGCGUUAUCCGGAAUUACUGGGCGUAAAGGGCGCGUAGGCGGCCCGCUAAGUCGAACGUGAAAUCCCCGAGCUCAACUCGGGAACUGCGUCCGAUACUGGCGGGCUUGAAUCCGGGAGAGGGAUGUGGAAUUCCAGGUGUAGCGGUGAAAUGCGUAGAUAUCUGGAGGAACACCGGUGGCGAAGGCGACAUCCUGGACCGGUAUUGACGCUGAGGCGCGAAAGCCAGGG
rnacentral:rRNA from 1 species